rnacentral:rRNA from 1 species
CAGCCGCCGCGGUAAUACGUAAGUGGCGAGCGUUGUCCGGAAUUAUUGGGCGUAAAGGGAGCGCAGGCGGACAUAUAAGUCCAUCUUGAAAGUGCGGGGCUCAACCCCGUGAGGGGAUGGAAACUGUAUGCCUUGAGUGCAGGAGAGGAAAGCGGAAUUCCCAGUGUAGCGGUGAAAUGCGUAGAUAUUGGGAGGAACACCGGCGGCGAAGGCGGCUUACUGGACGACAACUGACGUUGAGGCUCGAAGGCGUGGGUAGCAAACAGGAUUAGAUACCCCCGUAGUCCUGUCUCUUAUACAC